UUCCUGUCUCGAUUCUGCAGCUUAUUUUGCAGCACUAUUUGCCAUAUGAUUUCCUCGUACUAUAUCCCUAUCACCUUUCAGAUGUGCUCUGCAAUGUAUAAUACUGACUUCCUUCGGCUCCCAUACUGCCUCCAACAGUUGAAGUAUUUCCACUGCAUACAUGAUUUCUUUCCCCUCUGAAUUCAGGAGUCCUCUUUCCUUAUAUAAUGCUCCAUGGACUUGAGUUGUUAGGAAGGCAUAUCUUGAGUCAGUAUAAAUAUUCACUCUCAGCCCCUCAGAUAGUUGCAAGGCCCUUGUUAGUGCAAUUAAUUCCGCUUUUUGCGCUGAUGUUCCUUUUGACAAUGGUCGUGCUUCUAUCACCUUGUCUAUGGUGGUCAUUGCAUAACCCGCAUAACAAAUUCCUUCUUUAACAAAACUACUACCAUCCGUGUAGUAUUGUAUAUCCGGAUUCUGGAUUGGGAAAUCUUGGAGAUCAGGUGAUGUACUCUUGGAUUCUCACAUAACAUAGCCUGAUACUUAGUCAUUCUGCU